rnacentral:rRNA from 1 species
UACAGAGGGUGCAAGCGUUAAUCGGAAUUACUGGGCGUAAAGCGUGCGUAGACGGUCAUGUAAGUCGGGUGUGAAAGCCCCGGGCUCAACCUGGGAAUUGCAUUCGAGACUGCAUGGCUAGGGUGCGGAAGAGGGAAGCGGAAUUUCCGGUGUAGCGGUGAAGUGCGUAGAUAUCGGAAGGAACACCAGUGGCGAAAGCGGCUUCCUGGUCCAGCACCGACGUUCAGGCACGAAAGCGUGGGGAGCAAACAGG